GACGAACGCUGGCGGCGUGCUUAACACAUGCAAGUCGAACGGAAACGCCCUGCUUUUGUGGGGUGCUCGAGUGGCGAACGGGUGCGUAACACGUGAAUAACCUGCCCUUGACUUUGGGAUAACUUCAGGAAACUGGAGCUAAUACCGGAUAGGAGCUCCUGCUGCAGGGAGGGGGUUGGAACGUUUCGGCGGUUGGGGAUGGACUGGCGGCUUAUCAGCUUGUUGGUGGGGUAGUGGCUUGCCAAGGGUUUGACGGGUAGCCGGCCUGAGAGGGUGACCGGCCACAUUGGGACUGCGGUACGGCCCAGUCGGCAACGUGAGGCAGCGGUGGGGAGUAUGGCACAAUGGGCGGAAGCCUGAUGCAGCAACGCCGCGUGCGGGAUGACGGCCUGCGGGUUGUAAACCGCUGUCGCCUGUGACGAAGCGGGAGUGACGGUAAUGGGUAAAGAAGCACCGGCUAACUACGUG
rnacentral:rRNA from 1 species